GAUGAACGUUGGCGGUGUGCCUAAUACAUGCAAGUCGAACGGAGUUAAUAGCAAUAUUGACUUAGUGGCGAACGGGUGAGUAACGCGUUGGUGAUCUGCCUUGAAGUGUGGAAUAACGCUCCGAAAGGAGCGCUAAUACCGCAUGUGCUCUCAAUUUUUAGAAACUUGGAGAGGAAAGGAUUUAUUCCGCUUCGAGAGGAGCCUGCGUCCCAUCAGCUGGUUGGUAGGGUAAAGGCCUACCAAGGCAAUGACGGGUAGGGGACCUGAGAGGGUGGCCCCCCACAAUGGAACUGAAACACGGUCCAUACACCUACGGGUGGCAGCAGUAGGGAAUAUUAGAAAUGGACGAAAGUCUGAUCUAGCAACACCGCGUGUGCGAAGAAGGCCUUCGGGUCGUAAAGCACUUUUUAGGAAGGAAUAGGAAGGAAUGUACUUCCAGAAUAAGUCUCGGCUAACUACGUG
rnacentral:rRNA from 1 species